UAGGGAAUCUUCGGCAAUGGACGGAAGUCUGACCGAGCAACGCCGCGUGAGUGAAGAAGGUUUUCGGAUCAUAAAGCUCUGUUGUAAGAGAAGAACGGGUGUGAGAGUGGAAAGUCCACACUGUGACGGUAUCUUACCAGAAAGGGACGGCUAACUACGUGCCAGCAGCCGCGGUAAUACGUAGGUCCCGAGCGUUGUCCGGAUUUAUUGGGCGUAAAGCGAGCGCAGGCGGUUAGAUAAGUCUGAAGUUAAAGGCUGUGGCUUAACCAUAGUACGCUUUGGAAACUGUUUAACUUGAGUGCAAGAGGGGAGAGUGGAAUUCCAUGUGUAGCGGUGAAAUGCGUAGAUAUAUGGAGGAACACCGGUGGCGAAAGCGGCUCUCUGGCUUGUAACUGACGCUGAGGCUCGAAAGCGUGGGGAGCAAACAGGAUUAGAUACCCUGGUAGUCCACGCCGUAAACGAUGAGUGCUAGGUGUUAGACCCUUUCCGGGGUUUAGUGCCGCAGCUAACGCAUUAAGCACUCCGCCUGGGGAGUACGACCGCAAGGUUG
rnacentral:rRNA from 1 species